rnacentral:rRNA from 1 species
CUUUCGCCGGUGAAGAUAAUGACGGUAACCGGAGAAGAAGCCCCGGCUAACUUCGUGCCAGCACCCGCGUUAAUACGAGGGGGGCUGGCGUUGCCGGGAAUUACUGGGCGUAAACCGCACGUAGGCGGUUUCUUAAGUCGGGGGUGAAAUCCUGGAGCUCAACUCCAGAACUGCCUUCGAUACUGGGAAACUUGAGUUCGGGAGAGGUGAGUGGAACUGCGAGUGUAGAGGUGAAAUUCGUGGAUAUUCGCAAGAACACCAGUGGCGAAGGCGGCUCACUGGCCCGAUACUGACGCUGAGGUGCGAGAGCGUGGGGAGCAAACA